AUUCGCUUGGAAGCAAGACAGAACAAGCAAUUACUGUCAGCUGCUUUACGACUGAAAUGAGGGGUGACCGGCUUUCUGAACUAUUCCAGGAGAUGGAGCAGAGCUGAUGCACUUACCUUGACAAAGAACCUUAUUGAAGCUGCAAUUUUUAUAUGGUCUCACUGUUGUGUGAAGGAUGAUGAAUGAGAGCAUUGAUGCACAAGAUGUUCUACAGACACUCGGUAAAGCUAACAUUUCCAGAACAAGUGGGACUUUUAUUGCAUACACAGACCAGCUAUGAAGCACUUGUUCAGGAAUCUCUGAGACUGCCGCCUGAUCUACCUCUGACUGCUGAUGGAUACAGCAUACUGCUCAGACCCAGCAAAACAUUUUCUAUUCUGUGAGAGAACAGCUGCUCAGCCAUAUUUGACUUGCAUGAAGUCAGCACGGAGUGAGCUGGAGCAAUAAUCACAAUCCUUAACCAGUUUGGGUUAGACAAGAUGAACAUUGACUAAAGAUUUAUCUACUUUCCCGGAAAGACACCUGGAGGGCUUGCAAGUGGAGAGGGGACUGUAACUGAAUCCCUCUGUUAGGACAGACAUAGCUUGACAUUGCUACUAUGGGAGUAACCAUCACGGUGAGGAGAUUGGUGUUAAGACCUCACCAGAAGCCUAACUGCAGUGUGUAUCUUUAUUACGUUUAAAAGCUUCUGACAAUACUUGUUCAUGCUGUCAUUUUUCCUUGCUUACAAGAAAUGGUUGUGUCCACAAGGAGCUCAACAUGAGCCUGAAGUAACAUAGACUAUUAGUUGCUGAAUGCUAAAGGUUCCUUAAGGAAUCACAAUACAGAGGUCUAAUGAUGACCGAAGGUUUUGUGGGUUUUUUUUCUGUGUGUUUCUGUUUUCUGCACCAUUGGGGAGACCUGCUCCUAACUCUGGAUGCAUCCUUGUUCUCUGGCAGAGGCUUGUUAUCACAUGCUGGAACCCUAUUACUGUGAUGAGUCCCAGGGUUUAAGUGCAUAAAGACUAUGGACAAACACACUGGAAUUUCUAGUAACUUGCUAAAGUUCAUUUAAAGGUAAGAAGUGUUCAACUGAUAAUGUUGGAACAUUUCUUCAGAAUAGGCAUUGUUUUUGCAAUAGCAAUCUGAGUUUCCCCACAGCCAUUCAGUAUGCCUAGCUCUGRCCUAACAUGAUCCAGAGUAUUGCAUUGCCCAAGACCUUCUGAGGCAUGAGACUCCACCAGUAGAAAUCAUUACAGACUCAGCUCAGUCCCCUGCAGUAAGGUACAUUAUCAUCAUUACCUAGACAGAAAUAAUAAGUAAAACAAAACAGAGAGCAGUACAGGACUUGACGCAAUUAAACUUCAAACUCUUGGCUCUUUUGAACUCUGUCCUUCAACUCUUCUAGAAAGGAGUAAUUUUCAGGAGUGACCUACAACAGUUUUGAUCUGGUAUCUCAGUGGAAUAUAUAGCUCCAUCUCCCACCAGCAAACACUCUGAAUAAUUUAGAUAUUCUACACCCACACAAGAAAAAUUGUAAAGCCAAGUUUUCAAUGGAUCUUGCAUAUACUUCUUUUUUGGGGGGAAAUGUGAUUUAUAUUUUUUAGUUAAUGUAACAGAUAUAUAAAUCUUUUUACUGAGGCCUUCCUUAGAAAAAUCUUACCAUACCAAAUGUGACUGAUCUACUGUGCCUGUUUGACGGAACUCCUUUGUGAUGCUGAUCAUUUCCCAGCCUAGAUUUAUCUAUUUAGGAUAGAAAACUGUUUCUGGAAUCUGAACUCAGUUAACAAUAAACACUCCACUGAAAGAUCCA
ensembl:lncRNA